UACGUAGGGGGGCAAGCGUUGUCCGGAAUCAUUGGGCGUAAAGCGCGCGUAGGCGGCCCGGUAAGUCCGCUGUAAAAGUCAAAGGCUCAACCUUUGAAUGCCGGUGGAUACUGUCGGGCUAGAGUCCGGAAGAGGCGAGUGGAAUUCCUGGUGUAGCGGUGGAAUGCGCAGAUAUCAGGAGGAACACCGAUGGCGAAGGCAGCACUCUGGGACGGUACUGACGCUGAGACGCGAAAGCGUGGGGAGCGAACAGG
rnacentral:rRNA from 1 species